rnacentral:tRNA from 1 species
GGCGCAUUCGUCUAGCGGAAGGACACCACGCUUUCAAUGUGGCAAGACGGGUUCGACUCCCGUAUGCGCCA